rnacentral:rRNA from 1 species
GACGAACGCUGGCGGCGUGCUUAACACAUGCAAGUCGAACGGAAAGGCCCUGCUUUUGUGGGGUGCUCGAGUGGCGAACGGGUGAGUAACACGUGAGUAACCUGCACUUGACUUUGGGAUAACUUCAGGAAACUGGGGCUAAUACCGGAUAGGAGCUCCUGCUGCAUGGUGGGGGUUGGAAAGUUUCGGCGGUUGGGGAUGGACUCGCGGCUUAUCAGCUUGUUGGUGGGGUAGUGGCUUACCAAGGCUUUGAAGGGUAGCCGGCCUGAGAGGGGGACCGGCCACAUGGGGACUGAGGUACGGCCCAGACUCCUACGGGAGGCAGCAGUGGGGAAUAUUGCACAAUGGGCGGAAGCCUGAUGCAGCAACGCCGCGUGCGGGAUGACGGCCUUCGGGUUGUAAACCGCUUUCGCCUGUGACGAAGCGUGAGUGACGGUAAUGGGUAAAGAAGCACCGGCUAACUACGUG